rnacentral:rRNA from 1 species
AACGAACGCUGGCGGCAGGCUUAACACAUGCAAGUCGAACGCUCGUAGCAAUACGGGAGUGGCGGACGGGUGAGUAACGCGUGGGAACGUGCCCUCUUCUACGGAAUAGCCCAGGGAAACUUGGAUUAAUGCCGUAUACGCCCGAAAGGGGAAGAUUUAUCGGAGGAGGAUCGGCCCGCGUUGGAUUAGGUAGUUGGUGGGGUAAUGGCCUACCAAGCCGACGAUCCAUAGCUGGUUUGAGAGGAUGAUCAGCCACACUGGGACUGAGACACGGCCCAGACUCCUACGGGAGGCAGCAGUGGGGAAUCUUGGACAAUGGGGGAAACCCUGAUCCAGCCAUGCCGCGUGAUCGAUGAAGGCCUUAGGGUUGUAAAGAUCUUUCAGCUGGGAAGAUAAUGACGGUACCAGCAGAAGAAGCCCCGGCUAACUCCGUG